GUGCUAGACCAUAGGAUGGGAUCCUGGUCUUUCCUUACUCUGUGCCAGGCCUGUAGACUGGGGCCUGGUCUUUCUUACUCUGUGCCAGGCCGUAGCAUGGGGUCCUGGUCUUCCUGUCUUGGACUAAUUGGGUCAUCCGACAUUCACCCAUAUCAACAACAAUUUAUGCGAUGCGGCAUAUUCGUGAAAACUAAUGCAAUCAUCCUAUUGCAUAAUCAUGAUGCAUGAAACAUGAUAAAACAUUUAAUUUAAAAGAUUGAGUUUAGUUCCACUCACCUCUGGCUGACUCUGACAAUACCGAAGCAGCUGAACUCACUGCUGGGGUCCUCGGUUCCUCGGGUCCGAACCUACACAGGUGGACUCAAAUGAGGGACCAAACAUACUUGAACAUAACUCUAAAGUAUUCCCCAAAAACCCCCUAAAACAUCCUGAAAAUAUCACAUAGAGAUAUGCAUGAAGUGGCUGAACAGGACACUUUCGGCGGCACCUUCGGCGGCCGAAAGUCCUGGACAGAUCCGAAAGUCAGGCACUUUCGGCGGCACCUUCGGCGGCCGAAAGUCCCAGACAGAGACGAAAGUCUCUUUUCGGGGGCAACUUCGGCAGCCGAAUGCUGCCUCCACAAAGGGG
rnacentral:lncRNA from 1 species